UAUCCUGUCUGAAUAUGGGGGGACCAUCCUCCAAGGCUAAAUACUCCUGACUGACCGAUAGUGAACCAGUACCGUGAGGGAAAGGCGAAAAGAACCCCGGCGAGGGGAGUGAAAAAGAACCUGAAACCGUGUACGUACAAGCAGUGGGAGCCCCACCACUAAGCCAGUGGUGAACUCCACAUACGCAUCCUUUGCUGAGGAUACGGUUAACGGAGCGAAAGCGACGUUCAACCGCAAAAGAAGCAGAGGGGGCUUAGUGGUGGGGUGACUGCGUACCUUUUGUAUAAUGGGUCAGCGACUUAUAUUCUGUAGCAAGGUUAACCGAAUAGGGGAGCCGGAGGGAAACCGAGUCUUAACCGGGCGUUAAGUUGCAGGGUAUAGACCCGAAACCCGGUGAUCUAGCCAUGGGCAGGUUGAAGGUUGGGUAACACUAACUGGAGGACCGAACCGACUAAUGUUGAAAAAUUAGCGGAUGACCUGUGGCUGGGGGUGAAAGGCCAAUCAAACCGGGAGAUAGCUGGUUCUCCCCGAAAGCUAUUUAGGUAGCGCCUCGUGAACUCAUCUCCGGGGGUAGAGCACUGUUUCGGCUAGGGGGCCAUCCCGGCUUACCAACCCGAUGCAAACUGCGAAUACCGGAGAAUGUUAUCACGGGAGACACACGGCGGGUGCUAACGUCCGUCGUGAAGAGGGAAACAACCCAGACCGCCAGCUAAGGUCCCAAAGUCAUGGUUAAGUGGGAAACGAUGUGGGAAGGCCCAGACAGCCAGGAUGUUGGCUUAGAAGCAGCCAUCAUUUAAAGAAAGCGUAAUAGCUCACUGGUCGAGUCGGCCUGCGCGGAAGAUGUAACGGGGCUAAACCAUGCACCGAAGCUGCGGCAGCGACACUCAGGUGUUGUUGGGUAGGGGAGCGUUCUGUAAGCCUGCGAAGGUGGCCUGUGAGGGUUGCUGGAGGUAUCAGAAGUGCGAAUGCUGACAUAAGUAACGAUAAAGCGGGUGAAAAGCCCGCUCGCCGGAAGACCAAGGGUUCCUGUCCAACGUUAAUCGGGGCAGGGUGAGUCGACCCCUAAGGCGAGGCCGAAAGGCGUAGUCGAUGGGAAACGGGUUAAUAUUCCCGUACUUGGUGUUACUGCGAAGGGGGGACGGAGAAGGCUAUGUUGGCCGGGCGACGGUUGUCCCGGUUUAAGCGUGUAGGUGUGUGUUCCAGGUAAAUCCGGUUCACUUUAACACUGAGGCGUGAUGACGAGGCACUACGGUGCUGAAGCAACAAAUGCCCUGCUUCCAGGAAAAGCCUCUAAGCAUCAGGUAACAUCAAAUCGUACCCCAAACCGACACAGGUGGUCAGGUAGAGAAUACCAAGGCGCUUGAGAGAACUCGGGUGAAGGAACUAGGCAAAAUGGUGCCGUAACUUCGGGAGAAGGCACGCUGACACGUAGGUGAAGUGAUUUACUCAUGGAGCUGAAGUCAGUCGAAGAUACCAGCUGGCUGCAACUGUUUAUUAAAAACACAGCACUGUGCAAACACGAAAGUGGACGUAUACGGUGUGACGCCUGCCCGGUGCCGGAAGGUUAAUUGAUGGGGUCAGCGCAAGCGAAGCUCCUGAUCGAAGCCCCGGUAAACGGCGGCCGUAACUAUAACGGUCCUAAGGUAGCGAAAUUCCUUGUCGGGUAAGUUCCGACCUGCACGAAUGGCGUAAUGAUGGCCAGGCUGUCUCCACCCGAGACUCAGUGAAAUUGAACUCGCUGUGAAGAUGCAGUGUACCCGCGGCAAGACGGAAAGACCCCGUGAACCUUUACUAUAGCUUGACACUGAACAUUGAGCCUUGAUGUGUAGGAUAGGUGGGAGGCUUUGAAGUGUGGACGCCAGUCUGCAUGGAGCCGGCCUUGAAAUACCACCCUUUAAUGUUUGAUGUUCUAACGUGGACCCGUGAUCCGGGUUGCGGACAGUGUCUGGUGGGUAGUUUGACUGGGGCGGUCUCCUCCUAAAGAGUAACGGAGGAGCACGAAGGUUGGCUAAUCCUGGUCGGACAUCAGGAGGUUAGUGCAAUGGCAUAAGCCAGCUUGACUGCGAGCGUGACGGCGCGAGCAGGUGCGAAAGCAGGUCAUAGUGAUCCGGUGGUUCUGAAUGGAAGGGCCAUCGCUCAACGGAUAAAAGGUACUCCGGGGAUAACAGGCUGAUACCGCCCAAGAGUUCAUAUCGACGGCGGUGUUUGGCACCUCGAUGUCGGCUCAUCACAUCCUGGGGCUGAAGUAGGUCCCAAGGGUAUGGCUGUUCGCCAUUUAAAGUGGUACGCGAGCUGGGUUUAGAACGUCGUGAGACAGUUCGGUCCCUAUCUGCCGUGGGCGCUGGAGAACUGAGGGGGGCUGCUCCUAGUACGAGAGGACCGGAGUGGACGCAUCACUGGUGUUCGGGUUGUCAUGCCAAUGGCACUGCCCGGUAGCUAAAUGCGGAAGAGAUAAGUGCUGAAAGCAUCUAAGCACGAAACUUGCCCCGAGAUGAGUUCUCCCUGAGACUUUAGGUCUCCUGAAGGAACGUUGAAGACGACGACGUUGAUAGGCCGGGUGUGUAAGCGCAGCGAUGCGUUGAGCUAACCGGUACUAAUGAACCGUGAGGCUUAACCUUACA
rnacentral:rRNA from 1 species